rnacentral:rRNA from 1 species
UACGGAAGGCAGCAGUGGGGAAUAUUGCACAAUGGGCGAAAGCCUGAUGCAGCUAUGCCGCGUGUAUGAAGAAGGCCUUAGGGUUGUAAAGUACUUUCAUCGGGGAGGAAAAAACAAAACUAAUAAUUUUAUUUCUUGACGUUACCCGAAAAAGAAGCACCGGCUAACUCCGUGCCAGCAGCCGCGGUAAUACGGAGGGUGCUAGCGUUAAUCAGAAUUACUGGGCGUAAAGAGCACGUAGGUGGUUUUUUUAAGUCAGAUGUGAAAUCCCUGGGCUUAACCUAGGAACUGCAUUUUGAAACUGAAAUACUAGAGUAUCGUAGAGGGAGGUAGAAUUCUAGGUGUAGCGGUGAAAUGUGUAGAUAUCUGGAGGAAUACCUGUGGCGAAAGCGGCCUCCUAAACGAAUACUGACACUGAGGUGCGAAAGCGUGGGGAGCAAACAGGGAUUAGAUACC